AACGAACGCUGGCGGCGCGCCUAAUACAUGCAAGUCGAGCGAGAAGACGUAGCAAUACGUUUGUAAAGCGGCGAACGGGUGAGGAAUACAUGGGUAACCUACCCUAGAGUGGGGAAUAACUAGCCGAAAGGUUAGCUAAUACCGCGUACGCUCCUUGGACUUCGGUUUCAGGGAGGAAAGCGAUACCGAGGGUAUCGCGCUCUUGGAUGGGCUCAUGUCCUAUCAGCUUGUUGGGAGG
rnacentral:rRNA from 1 species